ACUCAAAUGAAUUGACGGGGGCCCGCACAAGCGGUGGAGCAUGUGGUUUAAUUCGACGCAACGCGAAGAACCUUACCUGGGCUUGAACUACUGGUGGUAAGUCUCUGGAAACAGAGGCUGACCCGCAAGGGAGCCAGCAGAGGUGCUGCAUGGUUGUCGUCAGCUCGUGUCGUGAGAUGUUGGGUUAAGUCCCGCAACGAGCGCAACCCCUAUCUCAUGUUGCUAAUCCCGCAAGGGAUGCACUCUUGAGAAACUGCCUUCGAUAAGAAGGAGGAAGGUGGGGACGACGUCAAAUCCUCAUGGCCCUUAUGUCCAGGGCUACACACGUGCUACAAUGGUCGGUACAACGGGAAGCAAUACCGUAAGGUGGAGCCAAACCCUGAAAGCCGGCCCCAGUUCAGAUCGUGGGCUGCAACUCGCCCACGUGAAGGCGGAAUCGCUAGUAAUCGCAGAUCAGCAGGCUGCGGUGAAUACGUUCCCGGGCCUUGCACACACCGCCCGU
rnacentral:rRNA from 1 species